AAAGUGAGGGAAAUAAGUGAUCUCAAUGGUCUGGAGUGAAGUGCAGACUGAAUGAACAAGUACCUCAGAAUGCAUGGUUUUUUUAGGGGUUGAAUUUGCUGUAGACUGUCUUCUACAUCCUCACUACAGAAACAGAUGUCAAAGAAGCUGGGCCGUGUGGUGCAUGACUGCAACCACUACUACUCGGGAGGCUGAGACAGG